rnacentral:rRNA from 1 species
GGCGAUCAGAUACCGCCCUAGUUCUGACCGUAAACGAUGCCAACUAKCGAUCCGCCKGCGGAUUCAUUCGCCCUGGUGGGGAGCUUCCCGGAAACGAAAGUCUUCCGGUUCCGGGGGAAGUAUGGUUGCAAAGCUGAAACUUAAAGGAAUUGACGGAAGGGCACCACCRGGAGUGGAGCCUGCGGCUUAAUUUGACUCAACACGGGGAAACUCACCCGGCCCGGACACCGUAAGGAUUGACAGAUUGAUAGCUUUUUCAUGAUUCGGUGGAUGGUGGUGCAUGGCCGUUCUUAGUUCGUGGAGCGAUUUGUCUGGUUUAUUCCGAUAACGAGCGAGACUCUGGUCUACUAAAUAGUUGGCACAUUGCCACUGUGUGCACAACUUCUUAGAGGGAUUUUCGGUGUUCASCCGCWCGAAAUUGAGCAAUAACAGGUCUGUGAUGCCCUUAGAUGUCCGGGGCUGCACGCRCGCUACACUGGCAAAAUCAGCGUGCUUGUCCUCCCCCGAAAGGGGUUGGUAAACCGAUGAAAAUUYSCCGUGAUUGGGAUCGGACAUUGCAAUUAUUGUCCGUGAACGAGGAGUCCCUUGUAAGGGCGAGUCAUCAACUCGWCCUGAAUACKUCCCUGCCCUUUGUA